UAAGACCUUGUGCUUUUGAAGCGGCCGAUGCCUGAUUAGCUAGUUGGUAGGGUAAAGGCCUACCAAGGCUUCGAUCAGUAGUUGGUCUGAGAGGNCGACCAGCCACNCUGGGACUGAGACACGGCCCAGACUCCUACGGGAGGCAGCAGUGGGGAAUUUUGGACAAUGGGGGCAACCCUGAUCCAGCCAUGCCGCGUGAGUGAAGAAGGCCUUCGGGUUGUAAAGCUCUUUCAGUCGGGAAGAAAAGGUUACGACUAAUACUUGUAAUCCAUGACGGUACCGACAGAAGAAGCCCCGGCUAACUACGUGCCAGCAGCCGCGGUAAUACGUAGGGUGCGAGCGUUAAUCGGAAUUACUGGGCGUAAAGGGUGCNCAGGCGGUCUUGUAAGUCAGAUGUGAAAUCUCCGGGCUCANCCUGGGAACU
rnacentral:rRNA from 1 species